UGGGGAAUUUUGGACAAUGGGGGCAACCCUGAUCCAGCAAUGCCGCGUGUGUGAAGAAGGCCUUCGGGUUGUAAAGCACUUUUGUCCGGAAAGAAAACGUCGUGGUUAAUACCCGUGGCGGCUGACGGUACCGGAAGAAUAAGCACCGGCUAACUACGUGCCAGCAGCCGCGGUAAUACGUAGGGUGCAAGCGUUAAUCGGAAUUACUGGGCGUAAAGCGUGCGCAGGCGGUCCGCUAAGACAGAUGUGAAAUCCCCGGGCUUAACCUGGGAACUGCAUUUGUGACUGGCGGGCUAGAGUAUGGCAGAGGGGGGUAGAAUUCCACGUGUAGCAGUGAAAUGCGUAGAGAUGUGGAGGAAUACCGAUGGCGAAGGCAGCCCCCUGGGCCAAUACUGACGCUCAUGCACGAAAAGCGUGGGGAGCAAAACAGGAUUAGAUACCCUGGUAGUCCACGCCCUAAACGAUGUCAACUAGUUGUCGGGUCUUCAUUGACUUGGUAACGUAGCUAACGCGUGAGGUUGACCGCCUGGGGAGUACGGUCGC
rnacentral:rRNA from 1 species